rnacentral:rRNA from 1 species
GACGAACGCUGGCGGCGUGCUUAACACAUGCAAGUCGAACGGAAAGGCCCUGCUUUUGUGGGGUGCUCGAGUGGCGAACGGGUGAGUAACACGUGAGUAACCUGCCCUUGACUUUGGGAUAACUUCAGGAAACUGGGGCUAAUACCGGAUAGGAGCUCCUGCUGCAUGGUGGGGGUUGGAAAGUUUCGGCGGUUGGGGAUGGACUCGCGGCUUAUCAGCUUGUUGGUGGGGUAGUGGCUUACCAAGGCUUUGACGGGUAGCCGGCCUGAGAGGGUGACCGGCCAAAUGGGAACGGGGAUACGGCCCAGACCCCUAGGGGGGGAAGCGGGGGGGAAUAUGGCAAAAGGGGCGGAAGCCGGGUGCAGAAACGCCGGGGGGGGGAGGACGGCCUUCGGGUUGAAACCCGCUUUCCCCUGUGACGAAGGGUGAGUGACGGUAAUGGGUAAAGAAGCACCGGCUAACUACGU